AUCCAUAUGGUGCAGUGGUUUAGCAUAUCGGGCUUUCAAAUGGCAGCAACACCUGAAUUCCCCGGAGACUCGGGUUCAAACCCCGAUGUGGAUA